GCUGGGCACUGUGAUGCAUGCCUGUAAUCCAAGCAGCCUGGGAAACUGAGGCAGGAGGAUCACAAGUUCAAAGCCAGAAUCAGCAACUUAGUGAGGCCCUAAGCAACUCAGUGAGAUCCUAUCUCUA
rnacentral:sRNA from 1 species